rnacentral:tRNA from 1 species
GCAUAGUUAUAGUUGGUUAGAGUACCCGUUUUGUAAGCGGGAGGUCAUGAGUUCAACUCUCAUUGAAAGCA